GGAUUAGAUACCCUGGUAGUCCACGCUGUAAACGAUGAGUGCUAGUUGUCGGGGGUAUCGACCCCUCCGGUAACGAAGUAAACGCGUUAAGCACUCCGCCUGGGGAGUACGGUCGCAAGAUUAAAACUCAAAGGAAUUGACGGGGGCCCGCACAAGCGGUGGAGCAUGUGGUUUAAUUCGAUGCAACGCGAAGAACCUUACCUGCCUUUGACAUCCUGAGAAUCCUAUAGAGAUAUAGGAGUGCUUUUCGGAGAACUUGGAGACAGGUGCUGCAUGGCUGUCGUCAGCUCGUGCCG
rnacentral:rRNA from 1 species